rnacentral:rRNA from 1 species
AAGGGGUGAAUUAAUAAUUGGGAAAAUUAAUAAAAAUAAUUUUAAUUAAAAAUAUUAAAUGGGGGUUUAAGUAUUUUUAAGAGAAAAAAUUUAAAAAUUUAUAGUAAAAUAGUAUUGAGAAAGAAUUGUGAAAUAGGUGAAAAUGAAUUUGAUAAAAAGUAAAUUUAGUUUAUUGUAUCUUGUGUAUCAGAGUUUAUUAAUUAAAAUUUAUAUUUAAAAUAUUCUCGAAUUUAAAAGAGAUAAUUAAUUAAAAAAGUUAUUGUUGAAAAAAUAUUUUUAAUAAUUAAUUUGAAAUGAGAUGUUAAUCGUUUUUAAAGAUAUCUAGUUUUUUUAGAAAAAAAUUUAAUUUUAUUUUUAAUUAAAAAAAAACUAAUUAAUUAGUUUUUUUUAAUUAAAAAUUAAUAUUUUAAGGGAUAAGCUUUAAAAUAAAUUUUUAUAAUAAAAGAAAAUUAAUAUUAAGAUUUAUAUACAUAUAAAAUUUUUAGAAUUUAAAUUGUUAAUAAAUUAUAAUUUAUUAUAAAUAAUUUUAUUUAAUAUGAAAAUUUUAUUUUAAUUUAAAUUUUUAAAAAAAAAUAAUUUUUAAUAAUAUUAAAAUUAAAAAUAAUGAUAAAAUUAGUAUAUUGUUAAAGAUUAUUAAUUUGGGUUAAAUUAAUGGAUAGAAAAAUAAUUAAAAGGAAUUCGGCAAAAAUUUAUAUUCACUUGUUUAUCAAAAACAUGUCUUUUUGAAAAAUAAUUUAAAGUCUAAUCUGCCCACUGAUAUAAUAUUAAAGGGCUGCAGUAUUUUGACUGUACAAAGGUAGCAUAAUCAUUAGUCUUUUAAUUGAAGACUUGUAUGAAAGAUUGGAUGAAAUAUAGACUGUCUCUUAAUUAUAAAUAAAAUUUAAUUUUUUAGUUAAAAAGCUAAAAUAAGUUUAAAAGACGAGAAGACCCUAUAGAGUUUUAUAAAUAAAAAUAAUUUAAGUUAUUUAGGUAUUGAAUAAUUAAAAUUAAUUUAUUUAUUUUAUUGGGGUGAUAGAAAAAUAAAUAAAACUUUUUUUAAUAUUUAAACAUAAAUAAGUGAAUAUAUGAUCCAGAAAUUUUUGAUUAUAAGAAAAAAUUACCUUAGGGAUAACAGCGUAAUUUUUUUUUCUAGUACGAAUAGAAAAAAGAGUUUGCGACCUCGAUGUUGGAUUAAGAUAAAAUUUAAAUGCAAAAGUUUAAAAUUUUGAUCUGUUCGAUCAUUAAAAUCUUACAUGAUCUGAGUUCAAACCGGUGUAAGCCAGGUUGGUUUCUAUCUUUAGAAAAAUAAAAUAUUUUAGUACGAAAGGAUCAAAUAUUAAAAUUAAAUUUAAAAUUGAGAAUAUUAUUAAAAUUAUUAUAAAUUAUAAAGUAAAAAUUAUUAAAUUAAA